rnacentral:lncRNA from 1 species
GCACGAUCUGAAAGAGGGCCAUGCUCUGCAGCCGACGCAGUGGAAAGAGGCGACACGAUAGAAACAGUUGAACCUAGAUCUUGGUGAACAUCGCUACGACGGCGCGCGGUCCACAUGACCGAACCGUCGAGCGCGCGCGUUGCCGCAUACACGCAGACGCCGUCGAGUGUGGCAAAGGGCGUCGCGUCCGUCCGCUUGGUCGCCAUACUGGUCGCGGUGUCAAAUGAGGACAGCGAUGUGGCAACGUCGGCCGCGUCCAAAAGGGACGUGGCAGAUUCGGCAUAGCGCUGGACGGCACGCACCGGAGAGGGCCGCGGCGGCGCGCUCGCGGCAAUGCACGUCAAACACGCCGGCCGACUCCAUAGCGGACGGUGCAGGGCAAUGGCGUGCACGACACUGCCGGCCACCAUACGGUCGAGCGCGGUGAUGAGACGCCGUGCCGCUUGAUACUCGAAUGUCUCUUCGAUCGAGGCCAGGCGCAGGCGCAGCGAACCCUCGACGUCGGUCGCAUCGAGCGUGUCACAAUCAAUGACGCCCGCCGACGUCUGGCACAUGGGACCGCAAUCACAGGGGUCGCUCGAAUGGCUGGGUAUGCCAUGGGUCGAUACGGUCACGUGCGGCCACGAUGCCACGGCGCGGACGCCAUCCAGAUAGAGCGCCGCCAGCGCGGGCGGCACCGAGUACCGCUUUUGGUACUGCUGUUGUGCCUGCUUUUGUCGGUGUGAGUCGUCCGCCGACGUCGUGGCCAUGCGCCGCGCCACGGCACGCCCAGGCAUCGGCCGCGGCUUGGCAAUGGCUGGACGCACACCAAGAGGGUCGCUGACAGCGCAUCGCAGUGCCGUCGUGCGACCGGCGGCGCCCGUGGUCACAAAUGUUGUGAGCACGUCGCGGUACUGUUCAGGCGACCCAAGCGGACCAUCGCUGGUGGUGAGAUCGCACACGACGACGCUCGGUGCGCCGCGGGCCGGCAGAGGCGAUGCCCGCGCGCGCACAAGGGACGGCAUAGCCGCGUGCGGUUGCGACAAGGGGUGCGCCGUUGCGACAAAUGGAGCGGGGUCUGCAUUUGUUGUUUUUGUUUUCACCACAAUAACAACAAUGACAAACAAGAACAGGAAAG